UUUUACAGCCGCAACUGACGGCUAAUGUGAAAUACGCUCACCUCAAGACGGGUGACUCACGCGUGGUAACGUACCUUUUGUUUCGGAACAACACACGUAAACUUGUGCUAAUACCGGACAAGCCCUUCCGGGGAAAGAUUUAUCGCCGAAAGAUCGGUGCCGAGUCUGAUUAGAUAGGUGGUGAGGUAAUGACUCACCAAGGCGACCAUCCCUAACUGGCCUGAUAGGAUGAUCAGCCACAUUGGGACUGAGACACGGCCCAAACUCCUACGGGAGGCAGAAGUGGUCAAUAUUGUACAAUGGGGGCAACCCUGAUCCAGCCAUGCCGCGGGAGUGAUAAAUGCCCUCGGCUUGUAAAGCUCUUUUGUCCCGUAAGAUAACGACGGUACCGCUCGAAUAAGCCCCGGCUAACUUCGUGCCGCCAGACCUGGUUUUACGAAUGGGAAUAGAGUUGCUCGUAACCACUGCGCGUAAAGGGUGUGUAGGGGGGUCUUUAAGUCCGGCGCGAAAUCCUGAAGCUCAACUCCAGAACUGCCUUUGAUACUGAAGAUCUUGAGUUCCGUAGAGGUGAAUGUAACUGCCAGUGCUCACGUGACGUUACGAUAAAAUCGCAAGAACCCCCACUGGCUAAAGGAACCUCACUGAGCCCGAUCCUUUCAUCUGUAUACACGAAAAGCGUUGCGCCGGCAAAACCGGAAUUAGGAUUCUCCUUGGUAAGUGCACCUCCCGGCACAACAAAGGAAAGGCCCAUGCCCGGCUAAUUGGGGGUUUCACCUCCCCUUAACUGUGGGG
rnacentral:rRNA from 1 species